UUUUUUCAAAGUAGUAUAUAUCAAUAAACCUAGAUAAUGACGAGACGAAUCGAUAUGAUACUUAGUUUUGGGCAUA